rnacentral:rRNA from 1 species
CCAACGGUAUAAGAUGAGCAUGCGUCCCAUUAGCUAGUUGGUGUGGUAACGGCACACCAAGGCGACGAUGGGUAGGGGUCCUGAGAGGGAGAUCCCCCACACUGGUACUGAGACACGGACCAGACUCCUACGGGAGGCAGCAGUGAGGAAUAUUGGUCAAUGGGCGCAAGCCUGAACCAGCCAUGCCGCGUGCAGGAUGACGGUCCUAUGGAUUGUAAACUGCUUUUGUACAGGAAGAAACACUCCCUCGUGAGGGAGCUUGACGGUACUGUAAGAAUAAGGAUCGGCUAACUCCGUG